CAAUAGCGUAUAUUUAAGUUGUUGCAGUUAAAAAGCUCGUAGUCGGAUUUUGGCUGAGAACGAUCGGUCCGCCGUUAGGUGUGCACUGAUUGGUCUCAGCUUCCUGGUGAGGAGGUGUGCUUCACGGCCACUUAGUCACCGUGGUUACUUUGAAAAAAUUAGAGUGUUCAAAGCGGGCUUACGCUUGAAUAUAUUAGCAUGGAAUAACACCAUAGGACUCCUGUCCUAUUUCGUUGGUCACGGGACGGGAGUAAUGAUUAAGAGGAACAGUUGGGGGCAUUCGUAUUUCAUUGUCAGAGGUGAAAUUCUUGGAUUUAUGAAAGACGAACUUCUGCGAAGGCAUUUGCCAAGGAUGUUUUCAUUGA
rnacentral:rRNA from 1 species